GACGAACGCUGGCGGCGUGUUUAACACAUGCAAGUCGAACGCUGAAGCCCAGCUUGCUGGGUGGAUGAGUGGCGAACGGGUGAGUAACACGUGAGUAACCUGCCCCCUUCUUUGGGAUAACGCCCGGAAACGGGUGCUAAUACUGGAUAUUCACUGGCCUUCGCAUGGGGGUUGGUGGAAAGGUUUUUUCUGGUGGGGGAUGGGCUCGCGGCCUAUCAGCUUGUUGGUGGGGUGAUGGCCUACCAAGGCUUUGACGGGUAGCCGGCCUGAGAGGGUGACCGGUCACAUUGGGACUGAGAUACGGCCCAGACUCCUACGGGAGGCAGCAGUGGGGAAUAUUGCACAAUGGGCGAAAGCCUGAUGCAGCGACGCCGCGUGAGGGAUGACGGCCUUCGGGUUGUAAACCUCUUUCGCUCAUGGUCAAGCCGCAGCUUUGGGUUGUGGUGAGGGUAGUGGGUAAAGAAGCGCCGGCUAACUACGUGCCAGCAGCCGCGGUAAUACGUAGGGCGCGAGCGUUGUCCGGAAUUAUUGGGCGGAAGGGGUUGUAGGCGGUUGGUCCCUUCUGCCCCUCAAAUCCUCUGGUUUAAUUGGGGCUGCGGUGGUUCCGGCUGUUUUAUUGAGCAGGGGAGAGAGGAAGUCUAGUGAUAGUGAAAACUCUCACUCAGGAGUCACCGUUGU
rnacentral:rRNA from 1 species